CCUACGGGUGGCUGCAGUGGGGAAUAUUGCGCAAUGGAGGGAACUCUGAUGCAGCGACGCCGCGUGAGUGAAGAAGUAAUUCGUUAUGUAAAGCUCUAUCAGCAGGGAAGAAAGUGACGGUACCUGAAAGAGAAGCUCCGGCUAAAUACGUGCCAGCAGCCGCGGUAAUACGUAUGGAGCAAGCGUUAUCCGGAUUUACUGGGUGUAAAGGGAGAGUAGGUGGCAGAGCAAGUCCGAAGUCAAAACCCAAAGCUCAACUAUGGGAAUGCUUGAGAAACUGUGCAGCUAGAGUGCAGGAGAGGAUAGUGGAAUUCUUAGUGUAGCGGUGAAAUGCGUAGAUAUUAGGAGGAAUACCAGUGGCGAAGGCGGCUUGCUGGACUGUAACUGACACUGAGGUUCGAAAGCGUGGGGAGCAAACAGGAUUAGAUACCCGGGUAGUC
rnacentral:rRNA from 1 species